rnacentral:lncRNA from 1 species
AUUUUAUCAAAAUACAGCAUUAAUGUUUUUUGUUUAUUGUCAGCGUUUUGUGAUAAUUGUCAAAAUUUAUAUAUGCAGUGUUCUGUAUACAAUAAAAAAAAAAACCUGAAUACAUUAUACACAUUUUCCUGCAAGUUUUUAUUUAUUUUUUUUCAAAACAAGAAGUUGCCUCAAUAUGUCUUUCUGAAAAUGUAAAUAUUCAAAGGGCACAUAUUUUAGUUGAUUAUGGAAAUACCUUCAAUAUCAAAAUCCAGUUUUCAGGUAAAAAAAGCAACAUGUUAUUGAUUUGAAGUGUUAUAUGAUGGGUCUAUUAAUGUACUAAAUUUUAUGAAAAGUGCUGAUUAUUUUUUUUUAUUAUUAUUUUUUCUCAUACAAUUGUAUUUUGAGUAUUUAUUGUUUUGGUAUGUGUUUUGUAUGUGUUUUGGUAUGUGUUUUGUAUGUGUUUGGUUGCUGUAAGUUUUGUAUAUUUCAGUUUGUAAUGUUGUGUUGUGUAUAUAUCUUUUUAAACUUUUGACAAAAUUGUGAACCUGAUAUAAACAUUCCAAUAUUAUUUUAUAAUUGUAUAAUUGUAACAAUGAUGAACCCCUUUCAGCAAAUAGUUAUAUCAUUGUCCCCAAUUUCAUAGGAACUUUUUAGAAAAAGCUAGUAAAAACUUAUAUCUUAGUGUGCUAGUAUUUUAAGAAUGGAGAUAACAAUAUUGUAUUUUAAGCUCCAACUGCAUCAAUUGGUGAUUUUAUAGUUGCAAAUACCCGUUUACUGUCUCCACUAGUGUGUCAGCAGUAAACUAAAUUUGCAACCAUCAAAUCAAUUGAAGCCGUCGGAGCUUAAAAUACAAUCCAGUUAUCUCCUAAAUGGAUGUAAAUAACCAAACAAUUAUCAAUCAAUCAAUUUUUGAGACUGGACAGUGCUAGACUUUUAUGCCCCAGCCGUAGUAGAGGGGGCUAAGUUUUACCCUUCAUAUACAUACGUCCCAUAGGUCCCAAAAUUGGUUCCAUUUUCUAACUUUAGUUUUGCCUCAAUCAAAUGUUAUAAAACUUACACAAUGCUUGAUACCACAAAACACAAAUCAAGUUUGAAUUUUGGUGGCAUCACUUUUACAGUUCAAGAGUUAUACCCCUUUACAAAUUGUUUCUGUUCUUUAACUUUAGUUUGCCUCAACCAAAUGUUAUGAAACUUGUACACAAGACUAAUUAGCACAAAACACAAAUCAAGUUCAAAUUUGGGUAUCAACACUUUUUCAGUUCUUAAAAUAUGUCCAUUUAUGAUGUUAUAUGCAAGUGGGGGCAUCAUCUGUGUCCCAUGGUCACAUUCCUCAUUUAUCCUAAAUCAAAUCGCUGUUGUCAUUAAUCUUUAGAUUGAUCAGAACUUUUCUGAAUAUAACAUAAGUAUAGAUAUUUUGUAUGUUUUUUAUAGACCAAUUUAUACUCUUUGUGCCUUGUUCAAUUCAAAUUGUAUGCAAGUAACCGUCUCUGAAUUGUUUUUUAUCAAAUGGAUAAUGUAAAUUAAGAAAUUAAUACGAGGUUUUUAUUAUUGCAAAAAAAAUGCGACUGAGUUGUAAACGCAAUAAUUUAAACUUGCAUUUUGAAAUAAUUUAUAUGAAUUAAACAGGAUUUUUCUCAAAAUCGUAAAAAUUAAAAUCGCAUUUAAGUCUAAAAUUACAAAAUCAAAAUAAUAAAUGCACACAAUAAUUUCUGAAUUCACAGUAAUGUUUGUUGGAAGGAUUGUCUUAAGUUGAUAUGAUUGAAGAAAAACAUGCAAUCAAUUUUAGAAUUUUGUAUGAUGAACCCACAGACUUGUUUCUAUCACUUUCAUUUGUAAAAGAAGGACCCAACUUUCAAUAAAACCUGUCACCUUUUGAGAGGGUCCCUUAUUUGCAAAAUGUACUAUAUGAUUGGUUGUUGAUUUUUAAUGAUUUUUUUUUAAGAAUAUUUACAUUUUUUACAUUUAUGAUAAUGUUCUGUAUUGUAGUUCUUUUCUGAUUGUUUAUGAAAAACAGAAUUUUAUAU